AUACUUGACCUCAAAUCAGGUAGGACUACCCGCUGAACUUAAGCAUAUCAAUAAGCGGAGGAAAAGAAACUAACAAGGAUUCCCCUAGUAACUGCGAGUGAAGCGGGAAAAGCUCAAAUUUAAAAUCUGGCAGUCUCUGAUUGUCCGAGUUGUAAUCUAGAGAAGUAAUGCCCGUGCUGGACCGUGUAUAAGUCUCCUGGGAUGGAGCGUCAUAGAGGGUGAGAAUCCCGUCUCUGACACGGACUACCAGUGCAUUGUGGUAUGCUCUCAAAGAGUCGAGUUGUUUGGGAAUGCAGCUCAAAAUGGGUGGUAAAUUCCAUCUAAAGCUAAAUAUUGGCGAGAGACCGAUAGCGAACAAGUACCGUGAGGGAAAGAUGAAAAGAACUUUGGAAAGAGAGUUAAACAGUACGUGAAAUUGCUGAAAGGGAAACGCUUGAAGUCAGUCGCGUUGGCCAGAAAUCAGCCUUGCUUUUUGCAGGGUGUACUUUCUGGUUGAUGGGUCAGCAUCAAUUUUGACCGCUGGAAAAAGACCUGGGGAAUGUGGUAGCUUCGGCUGUGUUAUAGCCCCUAGUUGCAUACAGUGGUUGGGAUUGAGGAACUCAGCACGCCGCAAGGCCGGGUUUCGACCACGUUCGUGCUAGGAUGCUGGCAUAAUGGC
rnacentral:rRNA from 1 species